UACAGAGGGGGCAAGCGUUGUUCGGAAUUACUGGGCGUAAAGGGCGCGUAGGCGGCCACCGCAAGUCGAUUGUGAAAUCUCCGGGCUUAACCCGGAAAGGUCAACCGAUACUGCGGGGCUAGAGUGCGGAAGGGGCAACUGGAAUUCUUGGUGUAGCGGUGAAAUGCGUAGAUAUCAAGAGGAACACCUGCGGCGAAGGCGGGUUGCUGGGCCGACACUGACGCUGAUGCGCGAAAGCUAGGGGAGCGAACGGG
rnacentral:rRNA from 1 species